AGAUUGAACGCUGGCGGCAGGCCUAACACAUGCAAGUCGAGCGGUAGAGAGGUGCUUGCAUCUCUUGAGAGCGGCGGACGGGUGAGUAAUGCCUAGGAAUCUGCCUAGUGGUGGGGGAUAACGUUCGGAAACGGACGCUAAUACCGCAUACGUCCUACGGGAGAAAGCGGGGGACCUUCGGGCCUCGCGCCAUUAGAUGAGCCUAGGUCGGAUUAGCUAGUUGGUGAGGUAAUGGCUCACCAAGGCGACGAUCCGUAACUGGUCUGAGAGGAUGAUCAGUCACACUGGAACUGAGACACGGUCCAGACUCCUACGGGAGCAGCAGUGGGGAAUAUUGGACAA
rnacentral:rRNA from 1 species